CGACGGGUAGCCGGCCUGAGAGGGCGGACGGCCACAGUUGGGACUGAGAUACCGGCCCAGACUCCGUACGGGAGGCAGCAGGUGGGGAAUUAUUGCGCAAUGGGGAAAACCCUGACGCAGCGACGCCGCGUGCGGGAUGAAGGCCUUCGGGGUUGUAAACCGCUUUUGAUUGGGGAGCAAGCCUUCGGGGUGAGUGUACCUUUCGAAUAAGCGCCGGGCUAACUACGUGCCCAGCAGCCGCGGGUAAAUA
rnacentral:rRNA from 1 species